AUGAUUAGAACAUCUCAGGACUCUCCACCAACUAUCCAACAUCCCAGCUGGAAGACCAAUAUUACUAAUAAGAUGUCUUUUUGUUUCUCAGAGGAUUAUGGGGCCAUCAAAGAAACCGCAAUUUCCCAAAGGCAAACCAGCCAGCUGUCAUCCUCCUUCUGCUUAAUUCUGGGUUUCACCUCCAUGGAUCAAGAUGUCCCACCCAGGAUAAACUUAUCACUUCUACACUCCCUAUCAUGCUGCUAACUCAAACCUUACCAAUCCUACCUUCCUCAGCCUCCUCUCCCCUCUGUUUGGAGGACUGAGUACCAAAUUCCUCCAACCGCCUUCCUUUAUGAAGAACAGACACUGAACUCUGAAGUCCUUGCUCCAAUCUGCAUCUGCUGUCCUGCAUGGUUUCAACUCUGUGAAACAAGAUGCUCCCCCCAUUCCUUGGUGUCCUAUCAUCCCCUGACCCAUGCACACACUUUCCUGCCUCCUUUUGGAUGUGGUCUAGAACUUUGGAUUAUAAACUCCAUGAGGGCAAGGGCUGUCUUCCUUUUUAUUAAUC
rnacentral:lncRNA from 1 species